rnacentral:rRNA from 1 species
GACGAACGCUGGCGGCAUGCUUAACACAUGCAAGUGGAGCGACGAACCUUUUAGGGGCAAAGCCGCGAACGGGUGAGUAACACGUGGGCAAUCUGCCCAGUUGACUGGAAUAACUCUCCGAAAGGAGAGCUAAUACCGGAUGUGCCGUACCUACACAAGUAGGUCCGGUAAAGGUAGCUUCGGCUAUCCGCAAUUGGAGGAGCCUGCGGCGCAUUAGCUAGUUGGUGGGUAAAGGCCUACCAAGGCGACGAUGCGUAGCUGGUCUGAGAGGACGAUCAGCCACACUGGAACUGAGACACGGUCCAGACUCCUACGGGAGGCAGCAGUGGGGAAUCUUGCACAAUGGGCGACAGCCUGAUGCAGCAAUGCCGCGUGAGGGAAGACGGCCUCGGUUGUAACCGUACUUCUAGUUGGAGUGAAGUGGCGGUGACGAGCGUGUCGACUGACGUACCGUUC